rnacentral:rRNA from 2 species
GCAUAAUAAUUAGUCUUUUAAUUGGUGACUGGAAUGAAUGAAUUUAUAAAAUUAAUGCUUUAUUUAUUAUAUAAUUAAAAUUUAAUUUAUAAGUGAAGAAGCUUAUAUUAUAUUAUAAGACAAGAAGACCCUAAUGAUUUUUAUUUUUAAAUUUUAUUUUAUUUAAUUUUUAAAUAUAAUAUAAAUAUAUGAAAUUUUACUGGGGCGGUAUAUAAAUAUUUUAUAUAAAAACUUUUUUUAUUAUUAGAUAUAUAUCUUAUUAAUGAUCUUUAAUUAUGAUUUAAGAUAAAAAAUACCAUAGGGAUAACAGGCUAAUUAAUUUAGAUAGUUUAUAUUGAAAUUUUAGA